CACGAAAGCUUAUGCUCAAAUAAAUUUGUUAGUCUCUAAGGUGCCACAAGUACUCCUUUUCUUUUUGCGGAUACAGACUAACACAGCUACUACUCUGAAAUCUCUCCAUGAUGACAACCAACAACUCUCCAAUGCCACUCACAAAGUAUUCAAAUAAGAACCCAUACUGCAAUUCACCCAAGAAUUUAAGGAUAUCAUCAAACCUUUCACAAAACAACUCUAAGAGAAACUCUACAACUUCAUACUGCAGACCCACACCAGUGACCAGCAUGCUGCCCAAGAUAUACAGACAAGGGAAACCAGGCAGACUUAUCAUAUCUGGUCAUGGCACUCUUAUUGAAGGAAUAUCAGGACUCAUAGAAACCAUCUUCAAACCACUCAUCACAUAAAGAGCCAGUUUCCUCCAGGACAAACUGACUUCCUCCAGAAACUCUGCAACAUUAACAACCUCCCUCAAAACACCAUCCUUGCUACCAUGGAUGUCACCUCCCUCUACAUCAACAUCUCUCACCAUGACUGCAUCAUGACCUGCUUCUAAUAUCUAUAAGACAAUGGGCAACAUUCAGAAAUCCACCCCAAAUACAUUGCCAAACUCAGCCAUUUCAUCCUCACCCAGAAAAAAUUUACAUUCAACAGCAAAUACUUUGUAGAAACCAUGGGAAUAGCUAUAGGACAGCUCCCCUGUCAACCUCUUCCCAGGCCACCUCAAGGAAGUAUUUCUGGAAAAAUGCACCACAAAACCAGUGAUUUACCUGAAAUACAUCAAUGAUAUUUUCAUUCUUUGGACAGAUGGCCUGAACUCCCUCAUAGACUUCCAGCACAAUACCAAUGAACCUUUGAAGUGGAUUCUUCUGAAGGUUACCCUUAAAGUAAAGUUUAUUGAAGCAGUGAAGAUGGCAACAUGGAGUCUGGUGAUGAAGGGAGCUGUAUGCUCUUUCUUCCCCCACUUGUGUUUGCUGAAAUGCAAAUUAUUCUGUUUCCUACCAUCUCCUUCUGCAGUCUUGAAGAUCCUGUUUACUACUUGUACGUAAACUGAGUCCAAGAUCAUAGAAUCAUAGGACUGGAAAGGCCCUCGAGAGGUUUUCUAGUCCAGUCCCCGCACUCAAGGCGAGAGUAAGUAUUACCUAUACAUUUGCUAAAUCAAAAACCAAAGACAAAGUAAAAAUAGCUUUUGAGAUACAUAUAAUUGACAAGCAAUUAUUAAAACAAGCUACAGUUAUACCUUCCCAUUGCUUAUAAUUGAAGAUUGAGGAAGCUAAAACUUAUUUACAAAUCAGGGCCCAGAUCCUCACUGUGUCAAGUUCUGCUUGACAUAGCAGAAAAGAGUGGAGGCUAAGGUGGUUUUAAAUCUCUCACUAUCCCUGGACCUGCUGUGGGGAAGACCAGUCUCCAGCAAAAUUUAAAAUAGCCUUCUGGCUGCUCUAAAUUUUGCCAAACAACAGUGACUCCCAAUAGGCAGUUCUGCAGCCAAAGGUCACUGGGUACAACAUACUCUGGCCAUAUCCCCUCCCACCUUCCUCAUGCUCCUAGCAUGCUCUCUGUGCCAGUGGGGACUGCAAUCUUCCUCCCCAAAUAGUGCUGCAGUAGGAUUGAUGGGGGCUAUUUUGGGCAAAGUAAAUGGCAAACAACUUAGUGUGGACAAGGAUUACAAUUUCUUUCUACUCUGAGGAGUGCCUAGUUACUCUGAUUCUUUAUUUCCUAAUCCACAAUUAGACUGCUCCAUAACUUGUGGUUAUCUGUUUUCCUUAAUAUUAUCAUGGAAAAUCCAAGUAAUCUGUGUUCCUUUCAAAUAUUUUUAAAAAAUUAGAAAGCACAGUUUACCCUAGAAUCUGUGAUGCUAUUACCCCAUCCAUUUAUACUUAUUCUGCACAUUACCCUAUUGUUAAAAAUAUUUUCAGUCAAUUUCCUCAGAAACAGUGGUGUGACUCUGAUCUACAGUGAAGGUGAUUACGUCCUCUUCUGAGGAUGGUUAACUAUGAAGAAUUGUCCAAUCUUGAGGAAUAUCUGGUGCUCUUAGGGAUAAUUGACAAAUCCUUAUCAUGGUCUCCACGUUUUCACAUUUUCAGAGCUCUUGGAUAAAUAGCAUGUACUCCUGGAGAUUUACUGCACUUGAGUUUCUCAAGCUGCCCAUAACCUCUUCCUUAGAGACCUCCAGGUCUGUUAAAGCUAUACUCUAAUUUCCCGUAAAACAUGCCCUUGGGAUAUUAAUUUCUCUAUUGCCUUCUAUAUUAAAAACAAAUGAAUUAUUUUCAUUAAACUUCUGUAUAACUUUUCCAUUCUCUUUCAUUUCCCCCUUUGGUACUAUAUAGGACCUAAGGAUAGACAAAAAGCUUUCUUGAAUGAAACGUCUUUAAAAAAAUCUAUUAUUUUCCUUAAUAUCUUUGGUUAUUUGUUCUUCAUAUUGUAUAUUUUCCCUUUUAAUUCCUGGGUCCAAUUUCUAGGUUUGACUAAGGAAAAAAAGAAACAUUUCUUCACUUCCACAUGAGAUUGAAGCGUGAUGUGGAUGAAAAUUAUUCAUAUAGCGCCUGUGAUUAAAUGUUGAAUGGGUAGCUCUGAAUAAAGGUAAAGUUGCCCAACACUUUCCAUUAUAAGACGACCCUUAUUUCAGUUGUUUGUAACAUUGUUAAACUUUAACCAGUCAGGCUGAAGUUUCCCAUGUUGGAUGUCUAUCUCUGACUGAAUUUUUAUUUUAAAGUUUCUGCAAAACAGUUCAGCCGUUUCCGAUAAUAAAAUUAGAGGAAAAUA